rnacentral:rRNA from 1 species
UGGGGAAUUUUGGACAAUGGGCGAAAGCCUGAUCCAGCCAUGCCGCGUGCAGGAUGAAGGCCUUCGGGUUGUAAACUGCUUUUGUACGGAACGAAAAGACUCUGGUUAAUACCUGGGGUCCAUGACGGUACCGUAAGAAUAAGCACCGGCUAACUACGUGCCAGCAGCCGCGGUAAUACGUAGGGUGCAAGCGUUAAUCGGAAUUACUGGGCGUAAAGCGUGCGCAGGCGGUUAUAUAAGACAGAUGUGAAAUCCCCGGGCUCAACCUGGGAACUGCAUUUGUGACUGUAUAGCUAGAGUACGGCAGAGGGGGAUGGAAUUCCGCGUGUAGCAGUGAAAUGCGUAGAUAUGCGGAGGAACACCGAUGGCGAAGGCAAUCCCCUGGGCCUGUACUGACGCUCAUGCACGAAAGCGUGGUGAGCAAAACAGGAUUAGAUACCCUGGUAGUCCACGCCCUAAACGAUGUCAACUGGUUGUUGGGUCUUCGCUGACUCAGUAACGAAGCUAACGCGUGAAGUUG